GAAUGAGAGGGAAAUGAAGCAAAACCACUCUGCAGGAUUUGAUAUCAAAGCUGGUGCAGGAAAAGGAAGCAGAUCAUGACCUUCAGCAGCUCGAGAAGAUAAGCAGCGUCCUUAAGAGUCCAGUUGCUAUCUUUAGCAGUGUUGGAACCAGUGAGUCUGAGACACCCACCACCAGUGGAAAGGUGGCUGACGAGCGCCUCAAGCACUCUGAAAAGGUGGAGCAACAACAAGAAACAGAAAAUUGCAUCCAUCAUUCUUUGCCUGAGGAGGGAAUUGAUGCUCUGUUGACCCUUCACACUGAUGUCCCUCAUGAGGAGGGGAGAAUAUGAAUCCUACAGAACUUGCCCAUAGGAAGACCAAAACUGUUACUGCUGCCACACUGCCACCACUUCCACUGACACCAAAAGCCCAACUGUGCAGAGAAUCCUGGACCUCCGCAAUGAAAUGGAGUCCACCAGUCACCUGGAGCACUUUAGCCUCCAAAAGUUCCAUCCGUGUCCAUUGUGUUUGGGUAAACUUAUCACUGUAUAAGGGGACAAGUAUCAGUGUAUGGUUACUAUAUACUCAUUUGUACUUAAAGAUGUCAUGUCACAUCAUUCUCUCUCUCUCUCUCUCUCUCUCUCUCUCUCUCUCUCUCUCUCUCUCUCUCUCUCUCUCUCUCUCUCUCUCUCUCUCUCUCUCUCUCUCUCU